GUGUCAGCAGCCGCGGUAAUACAUAGGGGGCGAGCGUUAUCCGGAAUUACUGGGCGUAAAGGGUGCGUAGGCGGUUUCUUAAGUCUAGUGUGAAAGCCCACGGCUUAACCGUGGAGGGUCAUUAGAAACUGGGAGACUUGAGUACAGCAGAGGUAAGUGGAAUUUCUAGUGGAGCGGUGAAAUGCGUAGAUAUUAGAAGGAACACCAGUGGCGAAGGCGGCUUUCUGGACGACAACUGACGCUGAGGCGCGAAAGCGUGGGGAGCAAACAGGAUUAGAUACCCUGGUAGUCCACGCCGUAAACGAUGAGCACUAAGUGUCGGGUGCAAAUUCGGCGCUGCAGUUAACACAUUAAGUGCUCCGCCUGGGGAGUACGGUCGCAAGACUGAAACUUAAAUGAAUUGGCGG
rnacentral:rRNA from 1 species